GGGUAGAUACCAAAGCGGUCAACUGGAUGUGGCUGUAAACCACACGGCUUACGCCUUCGGGGGUUCGAAUCCCUCUCUGCCCACCA
rnacentral:tRNA from 1 species